AUUGAACGCUGGCGGCAGGCCUAACACAUGCAAGUCGAGCGGAUGAGGGGAGCUUGCUCCCUGAUUUAGCGGCGGACGGGUGAGUAAUGCCUAGGAAUCUGCCUGGUAGUGGGGGAUAACGUCCCGAAAGAAACGCUAAUACCGCACACGCCCUCCGGGAGAAACAAGGGGACCUCCGGGCCUUGCGCUAUCAGAUGAGCCUAGGUCGGAUUAGCUAGUUGGUGUGGUAAUGGCUCACCAAGGCGACGAUCCGUAACUGGUCUGAGAGGAUGAUCAGUCACACUGGAACUGAGACACGGUCCAGACUCCUACGGGAGGCAGCAGUGGGGAAUAUUGGACAAUGGGCGAAAGCCUGAUCCAGCCAUGCCGCGUGUGUGAAGAAGGUCUUCGGAUUGUAAAGCACUUUAAGUUGGGAGGAAGGGCUGCUGGUUAAUACCCUGCAGUUUUGACGUUACCAACAGAAUAAGCACCGGCUAACUUCGUG
rnacentral:rRNA from 1 species